rnacentral:rRNA from 1 species
GUAGGUGGCAAGCGUUGUCCGGAAUUAUUGGGCGUAAAGCGCGCGCAGGCGGUCCUUUAAGUCUGAUGUGAAAGCCCACGGCUCAACCGUGGAGGGUCAUUGGAAACUGGGGGACUUGAGUACAGAAGAGGAAAGCGGAAUUCCAAGUGUAGCGGUGAAAUGCGUAGAGAUUUGGAGGAACACCAGUGGCGAAGGCGGCUUUCUGGUCUGUAACUGACGCUGAGGCGCGAAGGCGUGGGGAGCAAACAGGAUUAGAUACCCUGGUAGUCCACGCCGUAAACGAUGAGUGCUAAGUGUUAGGGGGUUUCCCGCCCCCCUUAGUGCUGCAGCUAACGCAUUAAGCACUCCGCCUGGGGAGUACGGCCGCAAGGCUGA